ensembl:rRNA 5S_rRNA 5S ribosomal RNA
CUGUGUAGCCAUAUCACCCUGCAACUCACAACUGGCAACCCACUGAAGCUAAGCAGGUAUGAGCCUGGUCAGUACCUGGAUGGGAGACCUCCUGGGAAAAUCUAAGGUUGCUGCUGGAA